UGCCUCUCUAUGCUUCAAGCUCCUGCCUUGGGUUUCUGCCUUGGUUUCCCUCAGUGAAGGACUGUAACUUUGUCACAUUGGAAAGAUUUGAACCAGCUUGCUGCCUGUGCCCUGGACUGCUUGCCACCUGACCCUACUUGCCCUUGGAGGUUGGAGGUGAGGUGGCCUGGAAUCAAUGACACAGACUCGGGGAGCAGCCUAGUGGGAGCCGGGGUACUCUUGCCUCAAUAUUGUUGGCCCCCACCUCAGAGCAUUCCCAGUGUACUGGACUGUGCCGUUCCUCCUAUGCCAGGAGACAUAGUCAUUGCCACCUUCCUAAGAGAGCUGCAUUCACUGUGGUGCCAGAGAGGUCGCGAGAGUAACUGCCAAACAGACACUCCUGUGUUUCAGUCCCAGAAGUGUGGCUGGGAAUCCGGAGAUCUUCAAGAAGUUAUUUAACUUUUUUAAACCUUAAAUUUUGUAUGUGCAUGACAGUGCAGUGCCCACAGGGGCCAGAUGAGGACAUCAGAUGCCCUAGAACUAGAAUCACAGAUGUUUGUUAACUGCUCAGCAUGAGUGCUGGGAACCAAACUCUGGUCCCGUGCAAGAAUA
rnacentral:lncRNA from 1 species